GAUAGUUUAGCGGAGAAACAUCUUGAGGUUAUUGCUUCAAUUGAGAAAAGUGUACGACCUAAGUCGUCAAAAGUGUGGGAACACUUCACUUUAAAGACUUCAAAGAAGACCGUUUCCUGCAAAAUGGCACGGAAGUACAACAUUGCUUCAGGAGCACCUGAAGAAGAAAAAUGUUGGAGCCAUGGAUGAAGGGAAGAACUCACAGUUUGCUCAUUGCAGGAUCUGAGUGUUGAAAAUGGACUUCCUGUUUCGUUCCUUGAACCGGAAGUCAAACCAUCCGUCGCGUUUCUGCUCGAAAGGAUUCUUCAUUCGUCACUCCAAGCAUCGUUUAGAGCUAGCUUCCGCAGCUAGUGGGUCCACGAGGAUGACUUCUGUUUUGUUUGAUCAUCCGUUUUACUGCCGUGUUACAGGAACCGUUUGGAAACAAGUAAGUCGUCCAUUGGACUCCCUCUCCUCCGCCAGCUCCCGCUGAGUGUGACGCAGCUGUGUGUCUCUUCGGCUGGCCUCUUCCUCCGUCUCGUUGAGCUGCCGCUUCAGAGUGCGGAUCCUCUGGGCCAUCUGCGAGGACCAAUCAGAGAGCAGUUAGGCACGCGCCAAUCCGUUCUAAGUGAGUAGUCGUUGGAAAGUUACCAGGUCCUUCUGCUCAGUGGCUAUCCUGUGCUCCUCCUCCAUCUGAUCGCCCAGUUCAUUGAUCCUCCUCUCCAGUUUGCCAAUGCUGUUGUUAAGGAGAGCUUUACUCCUGCGUAAAUACACAAGGGGAUCAAUUUAAAAGGUAGCCAUGUUGCUUGUUUCAACAAUAAAAAACAUAGAA